AAUUUAGUCAGGAUUUGGCCAUAUGCCGAAAGAAGAAAAGAAGAAAAAUUUAAUUAAAAUAAAGAAUAUGAAGAAUGAAAACUGAAUAAAAUCAAAAAGAAUAAUCAAAGAAAAAAAAUAAAAAUUUGUGGGUUAUCUCCCACGAAGCGCUUUGUUUAAUGUCGCAAGCUCGACAUAAAACUAUUAAAUGUUAAUCUAUUAAUUUUGGAGACAAUACGUCUAAGUGCAGGACUUGCGAGUCUUCAUUGUUUUCAUCAUAGUGAUAAUGUUUUAGACGCUGCCCGUUUACGAUAAAUGAUUCAAUAGAUUUU
rnacentral:lncRNA from 1 species